AUCUCCACGCUCCGAUGGACUGUGAAGUUUAUGUGGAGCAACCAGAAGGUUUUGAGAGAACAACGAACAUGUCUUUGAGUGGGAGUGUUAAGUAUUUCACUAUAAGCAAAGUCAUGUCCAAGUGACGAGAUGACGUCAGAGAGGUGCGUGCCUGCGUGCACGAGAUUGUUAUCGUUUUCUCUUGUGAGCAUGCGCAAUAAACGGCCAGUGUGGUUCCCAGGCCAAAAUGGAA